rnacentral:rRNA from 1 species
AGAGUUUGAUCAUGGCUCAGAUUGAACGCUGGCGGCAUGCCUUACACAUGCAAGUCGAACGGCAGCACGGACUUCGGUCGGGUGGCGAGUGGCGAACGGGUGAGUAAUACAUCGGAACGUGUCCUGGAGUGGGGGAUAGCCCGGCGAAAGCCGGAUUAAUACCGCAUACGCUCUGAGGAGGAAAGCGGGGGAUCUUCGGACCUCGCGCUCAAGGGGCGGCCGAUGGCAGAUUAGCUAGUUGGUGGGGUAAAGGCCUACCAAGGCGACGAUCUGUAGCUGGUCUGAGAGGACGACCAGCCACACUGGGACUGAGACACGGCCCAGACUCCUACGGGAGGCAGCAGUGGGGAAUUUUGGACAAUGGGCGCAAGCCUGAUCCAGCAAUGCCGCGUGUGUGAAGAAGGCCUUCGGGUUGUAAAGCACUUUUGUCCGGAAAGAAAACCUUUGCCCUAAUACGGCGGGGGGAUGACGGUACCGGAAGAAUAAGCACCGGCUAACUACGUGCCAGCAGCCGCGGUAAUACGUAGGGUGCAAGCGUUAAUCGGAAUUACUGGGCGUAAAGCGUGCGCAGGCGGUCCGUUAAGACAGAUGUGAAAUCCCCGGGCUUAACCUGGGAACUGCAUUUGUGACUGGCGGACUCGAGUAUGGCAGAGGGGGGUAGAAUUCCACGUAGCAGUGAAAUGCGUAGAGAUGUGGAGGAAUACCGAUGGCGAAGGCAGCCCCCUGGGCCAAUACUGACGCUCAUGCACGAAAGCGUGGGGANNAANNAGGAUUAGAUACCCNNGUAGUCC